rnacentral:rRNA from 1 species
CUAGCGACUUCAGAGUUUGAUCCUGGCUCAGGAUGAACGCUAGCGGCAGGCUUAACACAUGCAAGUCGAGGGGCAACGAGAGAGUAGCAAUACUUUUGUCGGCGACCGGCGGACGGGUGCGUAACGCGUAUGCAACCUACCUUAUACAGGGGGAUAACCUUUCGAAAGGGAGACUAAUACCGCAUAACAUUACUUUGAGGCAUCUUAGGGUAAUUAAAUCUUUGGAGGUAUAAGAUGGGCAUGCGUAGCAUUAGCUAGAUGGUGCGGUAACGGCGUACCAUGGCGACGAUGCUUAGGGGUUCUGAGAGGAAGGUCCCCCACACUGGUACUGAGAUACGGACCAG